ACGCUGGCGGCGUGCCUAACACAUGCAAGUCGAGCGGAGCCAUACCCAAAACAACUUCCCGUUCGGGGGUGCGGUUUUGGUGAAGCUUAGCGGCGGACGGGUGAGUAACGCGUGAGUAACCUGCCAUAAGAGGGGGAUAACACAGAGAAAUUUGUGCUAAUACCGCAUAUUGAAUAUUGAAGGCAUCUUCGAUAUUUGAAAGAUUUAUCGCUUAUGGAUGGACUCGCGUCCGAUUAGCUAGUUGGUGAGGUAGAGGCUCCCCAAGGCGACGAUCGGUAGCCGGACUGAGAGGUUGAACGGCCACAUUGGGACUGAGACACGGCCCAGACUCCUACGGGAGGCAGCAGUGGGGAAUAUUGCACAAUGGGCGAAAGCCUGAUGCAGCAACGCCGCGUGAAGGAUGAAGGUCUUCGGAUUGUAAACUUCUAUCAGCAGGGAAGAAUAAAUGACGGUACCUGACUAAGAAGCUCCGGCUAACUACGUG
rnacentral:rRNA from 1 species